GACGAACGCUGGCGGCGUGCUUAACACAUGCAAGUCGAACGGAAAGGCCCUGCUUUUGUGGGGUGCUCGAGUGGCGAACGGGUGAGUAACACGUGAGUAACCUGCCCUUGACUUUGGGAUAACUUCAGGAAACUGGGGCUAAUACCGGAUAGGAGCUCCUGCUGCAUGGUGGGGGUUGGAAAGUUUCGGCGGUUGGGGAUGGACUCGCGGCUUAUCAGCUUGUUGGUGGGGUAGUGGCUUACCAAGGCUUUGACGGGUAGCCGGCCUGAGAGGGUGACCGGCCACAUUGGGACUGAGAUACGGCGCAGACUGCUACGGGAGGCAGCAGUGGGGAAUAUUGCACAAUGGGCGGAAGCCUGAUGCAGAAACGCCGCGUGCGGGAUGACGGCCUUCGGGUUGUAAACCGCUUUCGCCUGUGACGAAGCGUGAGUGACGGUAAUGGGUAAAGAAGCACCGGCUAACUACGUG
rnacentral:rRNA from 1 species